rnacentral:rRNA from 1 species
GACGAACGCUGGCGGCGUGCUUAACACAUGCAAGUCGAACGCUGAAGCUUGGUGCUUGCACUGGGUGGAUGAGUGGCGAACGGGUGAGUAAUACGUGAGUAACCUGCCCUUGACUCUGGGAUAAGCCUGGGAAACUGGGUCUAAUACUGGAUAUGACAUGCCACUGCAUGGUGGUGUGUGGAAAGGGUUUUACUGGUUUUGGAUGGGCUCACGGCCUAUCAGCUUGUUGGUGGGGUAAUGGCCUACCAAGGCGACGGCGGGUAGCCGGCCUGAGAGGGUGACCGGCCACACUGGGACUGAGACACGGCCCAGACUCCUACGGGAGGCAGCAGUGGGGAAUAUGGCACAAUGGGCGGAAGCCUGAUGCAGCGACGCCGCGUGAGGGAUGACGGCCUUCGGGUUGUAAACCUCUUUCAGCACGGAAGAAGCGAGAGUGACGGUACGUGCAGAAGAAGCGCCGGCUAACUACGUG